AACAGGUGCAACCACUGUUAUAGGUGGGAAGUUGGAUAAGUAAAAUAUAGGUGAGAAUUUAAUGUAUACCUAUAAGCAACGAUUAACCAUUUGCUAACGAAAAAACGAUUUUGAGCGGAGUUCGGUUGAUAGUGUUGGUUUUUCAACAGUAUAUAUGUCAUAUUUUGGUAUAAUAAUAUUAUACGUAGGCAUUCAAUAUUUUCUUUAAUAAAAUGUGUUUAAUAGUGUACCUAUUUUCCCGUUCUCUCGGUUUUCCCGAGUUUUUUCCUAUUUAUUGGGAAAACUCCUACGGAAAUCAAAAAAUGGCAUCCCUUAUGACACCACCCCAGUCAGAUUUCUUCUCAUAAAAAGUGUUAUCAUUGUAAAUCAGAGCAAAAUUACUGGUAAAAUAUUUGUACGCAAAAAAAAUAAUAAUAAUAAUAAUAAUAAACUUCAAAGUAAAACCAUU